rnacentral:sRNA from 17 species
GGCGAGCAAGCGCUGGGUUAAACUCCGAGUUGCCUUACGGCGGCAGCAUCCACUGCGAUGUGUAUCAGGAGCCAGGGGCUCGCCACCCU